GACGAACGCUGGCGGCGUGCUUAACACAUGCAAGUCGAACGGAAAGGCCCUGCUUUUGUGGGGUGCUCGAGUGGCGAACGGGUGAGUAACACGUGAGUAACCUGCCCUUGACUUUGGGAUAACUUCAGGAAACUGGGGCUAAUACCGGAUAGGAGCUCCUGCUGCAGGGUGGGGGUGGGAAAUUUUCGGCUGUUGGGGAUGGACUCGCGGCUGAUCAGCUUGUUGGUGGGGUAGGGGCUUACCAAGGCUUUGACGGGUCGCCGGCCGGAGUGGGUGACCGGCCACAUUGGGACUGAGAUACGGCCCAGACUCCUACGGGAGGCAGCAGUGGGGAAUAUUGCACAAUGGGCGGAAGCCUGAUGAAGAAACGCCGCGUGCGGGAUGACGGCCUUCGGGUUGUAAACCGCUUUCGCCUGUGACGAAGCGUGAGUGACGGUAAUGGGUAAAGAAGCACCGGCUAACUACGUG
rnacentral:rRNA from 1 species